GACGAACGCUGGCGGCGGGCCUAAUACAUGCAAGUAGGGCGCAGUUGCGAGCGGGUGAUUAACGCGUAGGUAACUGCCUAUGAGAGGGAGAGAACGAUUGGAAACGAUAGCUAAUACCGCCUACUCAUAGAUGGAUCUGCGUUGUAUUAGCUAGUAGGUAGGGUAAUGGCCUACCUAGGCGGCGGUACAUAGCCGAGCUGAGAGGGGGAUCGGCCCACAUGGGAACGAGAACAGGUCCAGAAUUCCUACGGAGGGAGCAGUAGGGAAUCUUUGGAAAUGGGGGGAACCCCGACCGCGCAAAGCCGCGUGAGUUAAGAAGGUCUUCGGAGUGUAAAGCUCUGUUGAGAAGGAAGCGGUACUUAAACAGAAAGGGACGGCUAACUCCGUGCCAGCAGCCGCGGUAAUUC
rnacentral:rRNA from 1 species